rnacentral:tRNA from 1 species
GGGUAAGAGCACGGUAAGUGCGUGUGAUUUCGGCUCACAAGGGUAGGGGUUUCCUAGUUACUCUAG